rnacentral:rRNA from 1 species
CUACACAUGCAGUCGAGCGGAUGACAGGAGCUUGCUCCUGAAUUCAGCGGCGGACGGGUGAGUAAUGCCUAGGAAUCUGCCUGGUAGUGGGGGACAACGUCUCGAAAGGGACGCUAAUACCGCAUACGUCCUACGGGAGAAAGCAGGGGACCUUCGGGCCUUGCGCUAUCAGAUGAGCCUAGGUCGGAUUAGCUAGUUGGUGAGGUAAUGGCUCACCAAGGCGACGAUCCGUAACUGGUCUGAGAGGAUGAUCAGUCACACUGGAACUGAGACACGGUCCAGACUCCUACGGGAGGCAGCAGUGGGGAAUAUUGGACAAUGGGCGAAAGCCUGAUCCAGCCAUGCCGCGUGUGUGAAGAAGGUCUUCGGAUUGUAAAGCACUUUAAGUUGGGAGGAAGGGCAUUAACCUAAUACGUUAGUGUUUUGACGUUACCGACAGAAUAAGCACCGGCUAACUCUGUGCCAGCAGCCGCGGUAAUACAGAGGGUGCAAGCGUUAAUCGGAAUUACUGGGCGUAAAGCGCGCGUAGGUGGUUUGUUAAGUUGGAUGUGAAAUCCCCGGGCUCAACCUGGGAACUGCAUUCAAAACUGACAAGCUAGAGUAUGGUAGAGGGUGGUGGAAUUUCCUGUGUAGCGGUGAAAUGCGUAGAUAUAGGAAGGAACACCAGUGGCGAAGGCGACCACCUGGACUGAUACUGACACUGAGGUGCGAAAGCGUGGG